UACGGAGGGUGCGAGCGUUGUCCGGAAUUACUGGGCGUAAAGCGCACGUAGGCGGCUUUGUAAGUUAGAGGUGAAAGCCCAGAGCUCAACUCUGGAACUGCCUUUAAGACUGCAUCGCUUGAAUCCAGGAGAGGUGAGUGGAAUUCCGAGUGUAGAGGUGAAAUUCGUAGAUAUUCGGAAGAACACCAGUGGCGAAGGCGGCUCACUGGACUGGUAUUGACGCUGAGGUGCGAAAGCGUGGGGAGCAAACAGG
rnacentral:rRNA from 1 species